rnacentral:lncRNA from 1 species
UAUUGUCACAAGUCACCCUCAAAUUUUCUAGGUCUAUUCUAGGUCUACAUUAAAGAAAGAAAGGUUUUGCAUGGCUGUAGAGUAAGAAGAAGAAUAAGAAGAAUGUUAGAGUAGUGUAGAAGAAGAAAAUUAAAAAGAGAGAAAAUGAGGGAGGCCACAUAGCAUAGGAGAGUGUGUAUUAGUCAAGAGGAAUUCUACAAGGAACAUAUGUCUAGUUGCCACCUACAAAAUAAAAAGAAAAAAAUUAGAGUUCAAGACCAAAAAGGGAUCCAACGGAAGAGUCCAAGUGAGAGUCAUAGCCACCCAAAGAGAA